UACGUAGGGUGCAAGCAUUAAUCGGAUUUAUUGGGCGUAAAGGACGCGUAGGCGGGCUAUUAAGUCAGAUGUGAAAGCCCGGAGCUCAACUCCGGAACAGCAUUUGAAACUAGUAGCCUAGAGGGUAGGCGGAGAAAACGGAAUUCCACAAGUAGCGGUGAAAUGCGUAGAUAUGUGGAAGAACACCAGUGGCGAAGGCGGUUUUCUAGCUUAUACCUGACGCUGAGGCGUGAAAGCAAGGGGAGCAAACAGG
rnacentral:rRNA from 1 species